GUAAUUUUAUAUUAUAAACUUUUUAUAUGUUGUGGUCUUAAGUGGUACAACUUCUUUUUUAAAUCAAUAUAAAUUACAAUUUGAAGAUGUUCUUUUCCUUCUUUACUUUUGUAGUUUGUAGUCUUCAAUGGCAUUGACAUCUGGUAGAAAAGCUAAGGUUCUUUUAGUACAGUGGUAAAGUUACUUGUCUCUCAAUACGAGUUUAUAUUCCAUAAAUCUUUUUUUAGUCUUCAAUGGCGAUGAUAGCAAUUGUAAGGUUGUGUCAUUCUUUUUGUUUUAUAUUCUGUAGUGGCAUUGACACUAAGUAGCUACGGUAAUGUGAUAUCUUUUCAAAAUAAUUUUAAAUGAAUAAAUGAGGUGUUUAGUCAAUAUUUUACCUUUUUUUUGGU